rnacentral:rRNA from 1 species
AUUUGAACGCUGGCGGCAUGCCUUACACAUGCAAGUCGAACGGCAGCACGGGAGCAAUCCUGGUGGCGAGUGGCGAACGGGUGAGUAAUACAUCGGAACGUGCCCAAUCGUGGGGGAUAACGCAGCGAAAGCUGUGCUAAUACCGCAUACGAUCUACGGAUGAAAGCAGGGGAUCGCAAGACCUUGCGCGAAUGGAGCGGCCGAUGGCAGAUUAGGUAGUUGGUGAGGUAAAGGCUCACCAAGCCGUCGAUCUGUAGCUGGUCUGAGAGGACGACCAGCCACACUGGGACUGAGACACGGCCCAGACUCCUACGGGAGGCAGCAGUGGGGAAUUUUGGACAAUGGGCGAAAGCCUGAUCCAGCCAUGCCGCGUGCAGGAUGAAGGCCUUCGGGUUGUAAACUGCUUUUGUACGGAACGAAACGGCCUUUUCUAAUAAAGAGGGCUAAUGACGGUACCGUAAGAAUAAGCACCGGCUAACUACGUGCCAGCAGCCGCGGUAAUACGUAGGGUGCAAGCGUUAAUCGGAAUUACUGGGCGUAAAGCGUGCGCAGGCGGUUAUGUAAGACAGUUGUGAAAUCCCCCGGGCUCACCUGGGAACUGCAUCUGUGACUGCAUAGCUAGAGUACCGUAGAGGGGGAUGGCAUCCCCCUCG